rnacentral:rRNA from 1 species
CCUACGGGUGGCAGCAGUGAGGAAUAUUGGUCAAUGGCCGAGAGGCUGAACCAGCCAAGUCGCGUGAGGGAAGACGGCCCUACGGGUUGUAAACCUCUUUUGUCGGGGAGCAAAGAGAGUCACGUGUGACUCAUUGAGAGUACCCGAAGAAAAGGCAUCGGCUAACUCCGUGCCAGCAGCCGCGGUAAUACGGAGGAUGCGAGCGUUAUCCGGAUUUAUUGGGUUUCAAGGGUGCGCAGGCGGAGGUGCAAGUCAGCGGUCAAAUUGCGGGGCGCAACCCCGUACUGCCGUUGAAACUGCAUCCCUUGAGUGCGCGAGAAGUAUGCGGAAUGCGUGGUGUAGCGGUGAAAUGCGUAGAUAUUAGGAGGAACGCCAGUGGCGAAGGCGGCUUACUGGACUGUAACUGACGUUGAGGCUCGAAAGCGUGGGGAGCAAACAGGAGUAGAUACCCUGGUAGUC